ACGAACGCUGGCGGCGUGCUUAACACCUGCAAGUCGCACGGAAAGGCCCUGCUUUUGUGGGGUGCUCGAGUGGCGAACGGGGGAGUAACACGUGAGUAACCUGCCCUUGACUUUGGGAUAACUUCAGGAAACUGGGGCUAAUACCGGAUAGGAGCUCCUGCUGCAUGGUGGGGGUUGGAAAGUUUCGGCGGUUGGGGAUGGACUCGCGGCUUAUCAGCUUGUUGGUGGGGUAGUGGCUUACCAAGGCUUUGACGGGUAGCCGGCCUGAGAGGGUGACCGGCCACAUUGGGACUGAGAUACGGCCCAGACUCCUACGGGAGGCAGCAGUGGGGAAUAUUGCACAAUGGGCGGAAGCCUGAUGCAGCAACGCCGCGUGCGGGAUGACGGCCUUCGGGUUGUAAACCGCUUUCGCCUGUGACGAAGCGUGAGUGACGGUAAUGGGUAAAGAAGCACCGGCUAACUACGUG
rnacentral:rRNA from 1 species